AAAUAAAGAAUGAAAAAUAAAAAAAAUAUAUUUUCUUCUUUCUCUCCGAAAAUUUAUCCAAACAUAGUGUUAAUGUUAGACCUCCAGUUUUUGUGGGAUAGUGUAAAAUGAUCAUGAAAUUGGAUAUGGAGAUUGAUAUGGGCUGAAUAGCAACUUUAUAUCUCUUUACGUUAAAAUAAACGAAAAAAAUGUGACCUGUAGAUCUCAAGUUCUG
rnacentral:misc_RNA from 1 species